rnacentral:rRNA from 1 species
GGGGAAUAUUGCACAAUGGGCGAAAGCCUGAUGCAGCAACGCCGCGUGAGCGAUGAAGGCCUUCGGGUCGUAAAGCUCUGUCCUAUGGGAAGAAUAUGACGGUAACUCAUGAAUAAGCACCGGCUAACUACGUGCCAGCAGCCGCGGUCAUACGUAGGGUGCAAGCAUUAUCCGGAGUGACUGGGCGUAAAGAGUUGCGUAGGCGGUUAGUAAAGCGAAUAGUGAAACCUGGUGGCUCAACCAUACAGACUAUUAUUCGAACUCACUAACUCGAGAAUGGUAGAGGUAACUGGAAUUUCUAGUGUAGGAGUGAAAUCCGUAGAUAUUAGAAGGAACACCAAUGGCGUAGGCAGGUUACUGGACCAUUUCUGACGCUAAGGCACGAAAGCGUGGGGAGCGAACC